rnacentral:rRNA from 1 species
AACGAACGCUGGCGGCAUGCCUAACACAUGCAAGUCGAACGAACUCUUCGGAGUUAGUGGCGCACGGGUGCGUAACGCGUGGGAAUCUGCCCUUGGGUACGGAAUAACUCAGAGAAAUUUGUGCUAAUACCGUAUAAUGACUUCGGUCCAAAGAUUUAUCGCCCAAGGAUGAGCCCGCGUAAGAUUAGCUAGUUGGUGGGGUAAAAGCCUACCAAGGCGACGAUCUUUAGCUGGUCUGAGAGGAUGAUCAGCCACACUGGGACUGAGACACGGCCCAGACUCCUACGGGAGGCAGCAGUGGGGAAUAUUGGACAAUGGGCGAAAGCCUGAUCCAGCAAUGCCGCGUGAGUGAUGAAGGCCUUAGGGUUGUAAAGCUCUUUUACCCGGGAUGGAUAAUGACAGUACCGGGAGAAUAAGACUCCGGCUAACU